rnacentral:lncRNA from 1 species
GCUCAUUUUGCAGAUCCAGUUUCUCCCUAACUCUUUAUUUUCCCUUUUUCAAAUCAACUUUGUUACGGAUAUUUGCUUGUUUUAUCUAAUUCUUUGAGAAAAGAAGAACCUAGAAUCUAACUACAGAGAAAAAGGCAAGCAACCCGGAAUCUGAGCGGGAGAAAGGCUGCCUGCCUGUCUGCCUGUCUGCGAUCACCCAGCGGCGUGCGCGCGAGCUCCCGGCCUGCGCGGGAGCCCCCGGCCUGCGGGACAACAGACCCAGGAAGGAAGGUAGCCGCGCGGGCGCCCUUGAAACACCCACACGACCCCCCCCCCCGUUCUCAAAACUCCUGAUCGGGCCAGUCCUUAGACCAACUCUGCAGAGGCAUAGGUUCCCAUGAAGGGUAGUUUUCUGAGCUCCGAACUUUGAUCAUCUUUAAAGAAAGGGCAGGGGAAACCUGUAAUAGAACGGAGUGG